rnacentral:lncRNA from 1 species
GGCAAACUCAUGGUUUCUUGUCUAAAGCAUCUGCGUUUUGUACAGAGACCAAAGUGUAGGCAUUGGUAAUUAAAGCUGGAGAUAAGCACACACAUGUCAUCAUUCACUGUCUCCUUGACAUCGAUUGCUGAUGCCCUGCAGACCAAGAACACAACCCAACUAAGAAGACUCUGAGAUUUUUCUUACCAAAAGGUAAUGUAAAGCACGUGCAUACACAAGUGUAGAUUUUAAACUACAGCUAGCUCAGCUCCCAAACUUACAGUGACCAGUAACAUUUAAAUACAUACACUAAUGUUCUUAGCAUCAAUGGAAGCCAAGAAAAAGAUAUUGACUUUCACAAAAUAGUGAAUUUAAUAUUGAUAAAUAUAAAAAGACCCAGAC